rnacentral:misc_RNA from 1 species
AAAAAAAAAAAACAAGCGGCCUAAAGGGGGAAUUUAUUUUCUUGUCCAUCUAGCAGUAUAGUUGUUGUUCUUUAUUGGAAUUUUGUUUUUAAUAUUGUUUAUAUUGGGCUGGUUGAUUUGUUGGCUGGUAUGUGUACUAGGAGAAUUAAAACAAGUGUGUGAGCUAUGAUGACGACUUUGUAGAAAUAACAUACUAGUUAGAAAAGUGGUAGUUAAAGUCUGUAAUACAUGGCCAAAUAAUCAUACAAUAUUUGAAGUUUUUUAAUAUGUAUGAUAUAAUUCUCCGUAAAAUUUACUAAAAAAUAAAAAAUACCUAUAAAAUAAAAAAAAUAUAUAUAUUCGUUUGAGUUAAUAUAUGAAAACGGCUAUCUAUUAAAUACAGCGGAAAUAAAUAUCAAAAAAGCAAGAAUACACAAAAGCAAUUUAUAUAUAUUAUUAUAUGUUUCAUGUUUUUUAUUGGAUUCAUAAAAAAUAAAUUUUGUGCCUGUAAAUUGAAACUAUUCUUUUGAAAAGGCUCGUUAACAAUGUCAUAUUCUCAUUCGAACGGGGGUGAUGGAGGCAUUGCCGAUGCUGGUAGCCAUCGAGGUUAUUCGGGUGAUGAACGUGAGUCUCGAAGUGGUGGAGAAGAUGGUGGCGGAAGUGUUGGACGUAAUGAUGAUAGUGACACACUAUUGCAUGAUAAACCCACCUAUUUACUUGAACACCUGGCGACGUUUACCGUAAAUAAAGAUUCCGGUAUUGUCUAUCCAGCAGACGGCAUGAGACGUUUGUUACAAUUGGAGAAAACUACUGGUAUUUGGUCACAAAAGAUGCAGUUGUGUUUAGAUUAUCGUUGGGUGCUAAUAAUGGAUUAUGAAACAGGAAACAUCAUUGAAAGAUUUCCUGCUACGCUUAUUCAAGAACCAACUGCAUUUACAUCUACUGAUGCUAUGGAAUUGUAUAAUAACAUAUUAGUAUUUAUUGUUUCUGGGGGCAGUGGAUCGCGUUCUGAAAUGCAUAUUUUUCAGUCACAAAGUGUUUCGGCUGUUCACUUAGUUGAGGAUUUGAAAAACUUACAAAGAGGUAAUUUUGAUCUACAACAACGUGAAGUGAUGGCAUUACAAGGAAGUUCACGUCACGUACAACAAUCUCAUAGCAGUAACCCUCAUUCCCAAGUAUAUAUGGAUUCCAACAGUAAUAGUGGAGGUAUGCAUGGUCAAAAUAAAGUCUCACAUUCCCGUAAUAGUGAACAACAUACAAGUUAUCAGCAACGUUCCAUGAGCAAAGAACAACACAGCUAUUCCAUGCGAGCCGAUAAUGAUAAUAUAGCAAUAGGUUUGGUUGAAACGGAUUCAGAUCAUGGAGGAAUUCAUGAUUCACGUGCGUUAGGCGGAGGUGGUUUUGGUGGUGUAAAUUUAAAUGAUGAAACUAGUUCUGUGUCCAGUGAUAAAUAUGAACGCGAUGUUAAUGUACUUAAUCAUUGUUUUGAUGACAUCGAGAAGUUUAUAGCUCGUCUACAACAUGCGGCAGCCGCCUCACGAGAACUAGAAAGAAGAAGACGCAACCGAAAAUCGAAGAAAAAAGAUCCUGGUGAGGGCCUUUUGACAUUGCGUACACGACCACCACACGAAAAAGAAUUUAUUGACAUAUUUGCCAAGUUUAAGCUCUCUUUUAAUCUUCUAGCUAAACUUAAAGCUCAUAUUCAUGAUCCAAACGCUCCAGAGUUAGUACACUUUUUGUUUACACCUUUGGCAUUAAUUGUGGAAGCAGCAAGUGAUACCUACUAUGAGUCUCAACUCCCAGCAAGAGUAAUAAACCCUUUGCUUACUCGAGAAGCUGUUAAUUUAUUGAUCAAUUGUGUAACGAGUAAAGAAACCGAACUUUGGCGCUCUUUGGGUGAAGCUUGGACUGUGCCAAGAGAUCAAUGGAAGGAUGAUGUUGGAUCUUAUCAUCCAGUAUUUUUAGAUGGCUGGUCUCCGGACUACUUAAUCAUUGAUGAAUUAGAAAAACCAACCGCCAUGACUCCUCCACCACCUGCUAUUAUUAGCAGUAGCAAUAAACGUGUUCAUGCUGAAAAUGGACGUGAACUAGGUAUGGACAUGGGGGGAAAUAGUGGUUUAGCAACCCAUGAUAAUGCCGUCCUUAGUUACGACGACUGCGAUGAAAGUGAUAAAUACAACAUUGAAAACACAAUUGAUACAACAGAUCGUUACAGUGAGGUCGUUAUGUCGUACAAUGAUCACCAGCAAAAUACCAAAAAUCAUUCAAAUGUUGCAACAACAAUGGGUAGUGCUGGAGAUGUGGGUGCUGUAGGAAUACAGGCAAUCACGACUGGAGUUCAAAAUCUUUACAAUCGUGGAAUGCGUUCGACGACACAUAACAAUAUGAUGGAUCAGAUAAACUCAUCCUCACUGAAUACAGGAAGUCAUGCAGUGCCAGAAAUAGCAGGUAACAUACGGUCGGGAGAUGAUGUAAUGGUGGAACAAUGGUUAGAAGAAUUACAAGCUGCUGGUGCUAAAAUAGUAUUAGUAACAUAUCCCCGUACUGCUAAUAAUGAUAAAGAAUUAAGUGUGGUUCGUGGUGAAUACCUUGAGAUCCUAGACGACUCUAGAAAAUGGUGGAAAGCUCGAAACAUUCGUGGACAAAUGGCUCAUGUACCACAUACGAUUGUUACACCCUAUAACUAUGGAGAUGUGGAAACUGUUCGAAACCCAAACAUGUAUGACGGACAUCACCAGCAAACUUCUAAUUAUACAAAACCAAGAAACUCUAGUGCAACCGACAAUUUUGAUUCCCGUACAUCUGGCAACGACAACGCCGAUUGGAUACGUAACAAGCAUUUGGCUUCGUACAGUAAACCUACUUCAUCCUUAACUGAAAUCCAAAAAUCUAACUCGCCGACUUAUUGUGGUUAUUCGGUGCAAGAAGAAUUAAAACAUGUAUUAAGGCAACGGGAACGGCGCAACGACCUUGACAUCCAUAAAACUUUAACAAUUUAUAUUGAUCAGAAGUCGAGUCCAACAGAUGUUGUUGCUUGGUUGAAGGCCAAAGAAUUUUCAACAAAUAUAAUCGAACGUAUUAAAGGACUAAAUGCUGAAGAGUUAUUUGCAUUAAGUCGUGAACGUAUUAUGGAAAUUUGUGGCAGUAACGAAGGAAAGCGUUUAGCAUCACAACUAAGUUUGCAAAAGAGUGUUUCAGGAUAUAAAACUGCACGGUCAGCUGAGUUACAUUCUAUUCUAGCCAAAGCUCGUCCAAAAUCCGAAAUGAAUGUUCUAAACUAACAUGGACCACUAUACAAUCAUAAUGCAUCAUUUAUUAUCCAUUUUGGAUAUACACACAUAUUGUUUGGAUUGUAGAAAAAAAUAAGACUGUUUUUAUAUGGACUUGGAAUCGAUCAACAAUUCAUUUCUCUGUUUAGAAAUACAUGUGGAAGUCAGCUGCCGCCUCCCGGGUAAAUACUUCUUAUGAGUUUCGUUAUAUAAAGUGUUCCGCAACAGAAUUUUAGUAAUUAAUCACUUUCUAUACACUGUGUAAAUAUUAAAAAUUAGAUAAUUGUUUAAUAUGUUAACAUUCAAUAAAAAAUAUUUAUAUUUUUAUAAA